CGACCGGCGCGCGGGUGAGUAACACGUAUGAAACCUGCCCGUAGCAGGGGGAUAAGCGGAAGAAAUUCCGUCUAAUACCGCGUAACAACCCAUGGAGGCAUCUCUGUGGGUUUAAAGGAAGCGAUUCCGGCUACGGAUGGUCAUGCGUCGCAUUAGCUUGUUGGCGGGGUAACGGCCCACCAAGGCGACGAUGCGUAGGGGUUCUGAGAGGAAGGUCCCCCACACUGGUACUGAGACACGGACCAGACUCCUACGGAAGGCAGCAG
rnacentral:rRNA from 1 species